GUGGGGAAUCUUCCGCAAUGGACGAAAGUCUGACGGAGCAACGCCGCGUGAGUGAUGACGGCCUUCGGGUUGUAAAGCUCUGUGAUCGGGGACGAAUGGCUGGUAUGCUAAUACCAUAUCAGAGUGACGGUACCCGAAUAGCAAGCCACGGCUAACUACGUGCCAGCAGCCGCGGUAAUACGUAGGUGGCAAGCGUUGUCCGGAAUUAUUGGGCGUAAAGCGCGCGCAGGCGGCUUCUUAAGUCCAUCUUAAAAGUGCGGGGCUUAACCCCGUGAUGGGAUGGAAACUGGGAGGCUGGAGUAUCGGAGAGGAAAGUGGAAUUCCUAGUGUAGCGGUGAAAUGCGUAGAGAUUAGGAAGAACACCAGUGGCGAAGGCGACUUUCUGGACGACAACUGACGCUGAGGCGCGAAAGCGUGGGGAGCAAACAGGAUUAGAAACCCCAGUAGUCC
rnacentral:rRNA from 1 species